GUGGCUUGUCCGUGUGACCGCCAGGGCCGAGAAAAGCACAGCGGACUGCGCUCGGAGAAGUCCUGAAUCCACUCCACUGGACCCGGGUUCGAUUCCCGGCAUCUCCACCA
rnacentral:tRNA from 1 species